GACGAACGCUGGCGGCGUGCCUAAUACAUGCAAGUAGAACGCUGAAGAGAGGAGCUUGCUCUUCUUGGAUGAGUUGCGAACGGGUGAGUAACGCGUAGGUAACCUGCCUUGUAGCGGGGGAUAACUAUUGGAAACGAUAGCUAAUACCGCAUAACAAUAGGUGACACAUGACAUUUAUUUGAAAGGGGCAAUUGCUCCACUACAAGAUGGACCUGCGUUGUAUUAGCUAGUAGGUGAGGUAACGGCUCACCUAGGCGACGAUACAUAGCCGACCUGAGAGGGUGAUCGGCCACACUGGGACUGAGACACGGCCCAGACUCCUACGGGAGGCAGCAGUAGGGAAUCUUCGGCAAUGGGGGCAACCCUGACCGAGCAACGCCGCGUGAGUGAAGAAGGUUUUCGGAUCGUAAAGCUCUGUUGUAAGUCAAGAACGAGUGUGAGAGUGGAAAGUUCACACUGUGACGGUAGCUUACCAGAAAGGGACGGCUAACUACGUG
rnacentral:rRNA from 1 species